GAGGAAGCCGGUGUGAAUCCGGCGCGGUCCCGCCACUGUGAUCGGUGAGCGAGCCCCGCACACGACCACUGCCCGCGAGGGUGGGAAGGCGCGGAGCGAGCUGUGACCCGAGAGCCAGGAGACUC
rnacentral:ncRNA from 2 species